GCGUAUUUUCUUAUGCUUCACUCUCUAUAUAUAUCAAAGGGCUCUUCUUCUUCUGUGUCUGUCGUCGAUAUUCUUUAGGGCUUUUGAUGCAUUGUCCUAUGGUUUCUUUUGCUUGUAAAGAUAAAAGCCAGCAUGACUUGAGGUUUUAGGACUACCAGUUAGGUGAUAAAGGAAAAGAAAGUACAACACCCUCUGCUCAAGAGCUCUAGUCUUGGGAAGUCCGCAUUUAGUGUUAAUCUGAAAGGAAGUAGAACAGCAUUAUUUAUUGCAACUCCAGAGAUAGAUUGCACAAGACCGGAGGUGGACAAGUUCAAUCCAUUAGUGGAAUGCAGUCUUAUCAAAAAAAAAGCCAGAGGGAGUUGAGGUUUGAGGACUACAGUUAGCCAGAAAUGACUCCAUAAAGUUGGAGGAACACUUCAACAACCAACGCUUCUCACCCACCAACAGUUACUCAGUGCAGUUUGCCUGGCUCUUUUGAGGUUGAUAGUAUGCUGGAUUGUAAUCCAUAUAACUAAUCCUCCCAGCACCUGUUAUUUAAGAAGGGUCUAGUUGCUCAGAAAUUGGACUAGGAGCUGGUUAGCCAAGUAUCAACGACCAACAGAAUGUGGCUCAAGGAUCCUACCAAGUUUAGGUUUACGUUCUUGAACAAUGAUCUAUUGCCUUUUCCAUUCGGCAUUGCAUUGUACAUUAUGCUUAUGUGCUUGUGAAAGACAUGAUGCUUUUUGGAUGAAGUGUACAUAUGGAGAAGUGAGAACCUUGUGAGAUAAUUUGAUGUCUGUUGGGUGUGCUCUGUGACGUUGGUACCUUUGCCUUUGGUGCCUAGAUUGUUAUUUUUUUGAUUGUGUCUCUGGCGUUUUUCUCUAAAAAUAUUUUCUUGCUACUUGUUUCAGCAUCCUUGGCAUACUCGUAUCGGUAACCUUAACAUCUUUGACGCACGUGACUUUGGUAUUUGUGAUUAUUAUAUCCAUGUGCUUUUGCUUCGUUUAUCACUUUGGUCUUCGGGUGCAACAAACUGUGUUUUGACUCUUCUUUUCUCUUGAGAUAACAUAUGGCUUAACGUUCUUUUUGUUCUUUCUUUUGGGGCAUGCUUUUGUAGGGUGCACGGCAGCUUUGGAUGCUGAACAUUACUUGCAAGAAAUCGGUGCCCUAGAGGGGUUUUACUUUCCGAGAAUCAUGGAAGUGAAUCCAUCACCAGUUACGCCUCCUGCUGAAACACUACCUUCAGUCCAAAUCUCGGUAGAGCACCCAAAUUUGGCAACAUCCAUCCAGUACGGAGUUUCUAGUUUACCUGACUUUAGGUGCUGAUCUUCCAGAUGGGCUCAGUUGUGCCGUUCCAAGUAUCAAUAUGUUUAUACUCGAAGGAUAGAAACAUAACCUCUUAAUUACAAUUUUUUUGAUGGAGGGAUAAGUUACCCAAGAGAUUAAGAGGAAAAGGGACAGAAGUAGAUGUGUUAUUUGCAACAGAUGCAAAGGAAGGAAACAUAGAUUCAGUUACUUGAUGAAAAAGAAAAGAGCAAUGAAGUGGAACCAACAAAAACAUGGAGGAGUUGCGGAUAAAUUGUUGUAUCUUUCCUUAUGAUUGUAGUCUUUCUUGAUAUAAUGGUAAGGUUACUAAAAUAGAUUAGCAGGUACCGGUGCUUUGAUUUGUCCUCAUUCUUUUAACUUUGAAAUGCUUUUAACGAUUCCUUUCUAGCGCUAAUUUAAAGUUAGCACUUUUUUGGCUGUGGGGGUUAUCUGAUUACUAGUUUCUUUAUCAGGUUGAACAAGCAUGGUUACCAUUACAACUAAAAUAUUGGAAUCAAGGGGAUAGAAAAUAUAUUAAGCUAAAGAGAACAUCUUUUGACACUUCAAGAAGUAAUUAAUUUGUAGAUACGAGUAGUGAUGAAAAGACAAUGGUAGAUUUCUUAUGAUGAUAAUGUUAUAACCGUAACAUGUAUAUUUUGAUGAUAAGUUGAUUUAAGCUAGACUUUAUUGCGUUAAGAUGUAGCACUUAAAAUGAUGACUGAAUGUGAUGAAAUGGGACAAAGUGAAUUUGAUAUCACAUGGAGGAAUGUUGUCUCAAUUGAGAGAAAUAUUGAAAAGAACAUGAUUGAAUUGUUGUGUCUACAUCAUUACACGUAAACCCUAUUUAUAGACACUAGAAUAAUUUUUUUUAUCAAGUAGGAUUGUAUUUUACAAUUCCUAUUUCUAUUUGUAUUCCUAUUCCUAUUCAAAAUUGGAUUGUAUAAACCUAUUCCUAUUCUAAUGGGAUUGUAUAAACCUAUUCAUGUUCUAACACUCCCCCUUAAUCUCGUGCGUACAAUUCAUGUACCUAGCUUGUUACAAAUGUAAUUAAUACGGGGAACAAUGAGGAACUUGGUGAGAUUAUUGCAAGUUGAUCAGUCAACUUCACAAAAUUGACAUUCAUUCUCAGUGUAGCGUCUUCUCAUUAAAUCUUGGAUCUAAUGCGUAUUGACAGUCAAUCUCAAUGUGCUUAAUCUUUCUCAUGAGAUAUUGAAUUUGAUGUAUAAUGUCGAUAAAACAUAGUGUGAUAAAAUUACUAUGUUGUACUUUUCAAACCAAACUUUCAAAGACUGUUUCAGACCAUACAGUGUCUUACAUAAUCGACAUACAAGGCUACUAAACUCACCGUGAGCUACAAAGUGCUCAAACUCUAGUCUAAAGUAUAUGAAUCAUGCUCGAAUCAAUAGAUAAGUCGAUAUUAAACGAGAAAGUCACUGAAAGUUGGCCGGAACAUGCUCCUAAGCCGGUAUAUUAGAUUUGAUGGCUAAUAGUGGUUAUAAUCUAACAAAUAACAUUAUAUGGGUAGGAUAGGAAUGGUAGCACGACCCAACUAGAAAAUAGAAGGUCAUAUUGAUGGCACAACCCUAUUGAAAAAGAGAAAUAUAAUAUGAGUAGGGUUUGGAAUGAUGGCACAACCCUCAAAAAUCAAAUUUGAGGAUUCAUCGAAAUGACAAAUAGAACUGCGCUGAUCAAAUUUGAGGAGUCACCGAAAAGACACGGUGCUAUGCAACUUAGAUAUAAAAAGUAGUUCGGAAAAAUCUACGGUUCUACGUAAAUUAAAUAUGAAAAGUAAUCUGGAGAGAUGCACAGUGCUACACAAAUUAAAUAUGAAAAAUUAGUAACCGGAAAGAUGACGCGAUGCUGCACAAAAUAGAUAUAGAAAGUAGUCACCGAAAUGAUGACGCGGUGCUAAACAAAUGAAUAUGAAAAAGUAGUCAACGAAAAGAUAGCACGUUGCUACACAAAUACCAACGGAUAUGGGGUUGACACAAAACAAUCAUUGGAAAUUGACCGUGAUAACUUGUCUCACUGAAUUUUCUUUCUUUGAAUAUGGGGUUCAUGCAUAUAUCAUUGGUGUUAUUUUUGUUAACAUAAUUAUUGGCCAGACGGGCGGCAUAUACGGGUAAUAGCCACCCGCUGGCAGCAGAAGCUCUUUGAUUUUCUACCAAGAUCGUAGAGGCUUUGAUACCAUGUGAGAAUUAUUGAAAAGAAUAUUAUUGAAUUGUUGUUGUGUCUACAUUAUUACAUUGAGACCCUAUUUAUUGACACUAUAAAACAAUCAUUUACCAAGUAGGAUACUACGUACUAUUUCUAUUCCUAUUUUAAAUAGGAUUGUAUAAACCCACUUCUAUUCUAAUAAGAUUGUAUAAACCUAUUCAUGUUCUAAAAGAUGUGCAGUCUUUUAUUAUUGUGCUUCUAAUAUUUUGUUGUGUGAGGAUUUUAGAAAAGUUCCAGCUAUUAUGUUGCUCUAAAUAAAUAAAAGUGCACUUGCGUUAACAAUUUAAGUUUUUAGAUGAGUUCUUUAAUAUGGUAUUAGAGCGGACAAAGAUUCAAUAUCUGAGUCUUAGUGUCACCCAUAACUAAAAUUAUUCCAUGUGCUUGGGAGCCCACAUGUGAGGGGUUUGAACCCCUUUGACAUUUCUUCAUUUGAAAAUAAUUCUCGUUGUGAAAACACAAAGCCAAGGGAGAUGCUCUUUGAAUAGGAAAAAGUGUGGAUCAAGACUCAAGUAUAAAUCUAUAUUUGAAGAGUCCUAUGUUGCCACUUGGGGGCAUAAAUGAAACUCAGUACUAAAUUAUUCUCGGUCUCCGUUGCUCUUGGAUUAUUUAAUAAUGGCGCUCUAGCUUCUCUUUAGUGUAGCUAUUAUUGGAAGGUGUAGUGUCUUAUCGACUUGUCCUAGUAACUUAAAAAGAGAUCGAAGAGACUUUUUAGUAGACUUACUUUUAAACUUUUUUGUGGUUGAGCAUACCUUAUGCAGAGGCUGAUAUGCCUAUUUCUUCAAUAAUAAGAUGUUCAUCUCCAUAUACAGAAGAAAAUUCAAUAGCAGCAGCAUUUUUUAGAACAAUUUAUUGACAUACGCUUUAUGUAAUAUUCAUAUGCUGUGGAGCGAGUCCAUUAUCACAUGCAUCUGAUUUUCCAUCCUUAUUUCCAGUAGCUUCAUUUUGCAUAGCCACAAGAUCUAGUACAUUGUUGUUUCUCCUGAAACACAAUGCAGACAUUACAGUUGCAAUGCCAAGCAUAUGUAUGUCAAAUGGCCUUUGUGAUGUUACAAUUUUAGUCUACUGUGUAGUCCACACAAACUGACAAACUUGUAGGCAAGAAUGCAUUAUAAACUUCGGAUUUGACAUAUUAAAUGCAUCCAAAAAGCAGAAUAGACAUGUCUAAAAAUUCCAUCCAUAAAGCGGAAGAAACUAUGAAUAUCCAGAACAAGAUAGACUAGAUAGUCUCGAACUCCCAGACUGUUGCGCGUGUCUGUUGGGGAAAUCCGUAAAGUUGGUAAGCCCAAAUUUUUUUUAGCCAACAUUGCACUAGCUUGACAAUAGGAGCUGGCUUCACAUACCAGCUUAAAUGUUAUGCAUGCAUCUAAAAAUUCACUUAUAGAUGGAUUUUACUUAGAAACAUCCAUUGAGCAAGAGACAGUAUCUUCUGCCAUUGCUGAUUGAGGCGUCGAGUGUUCUAUAGUAGUAGUUGGUGAUACUAGCAGCGUAGGUUCAUGUCCAAUCUCAUUAGGAGGAACUGCCAUUGCUGAUAGAGGCGUCGAGCGUUCUGUAGUAGUAGUUGGUGAUACUAGUAGCAUAGCUCCAAGACCAAUCUCAUUAGGAGGAAUGUAUUUGGUCCUUGCAUAAAUUAGAGUAACAGGUUCAUCUUCGUCAGAUAUUAUUUCAAAGUCUGGUCCCUGGAGAUAGUUAUCAAGUGUUCUCUGGAUUUGAGCAGGUGACAAAAUGCCAUGUCUAGGCUUUGAUAUCUUUCUUCUUGGGAGAGGAUCUUUGUCUGCUUCUCCAAAAAGAUGGUGAACAUUAGUGCACAUAAAACAAUAAGGUACUAAUACAAUUGAUAUUAUCUUUUUGUGUGUGUGUAGGAGUGGGGGGUAAGCUGUUGCAAAAAUUAGUAUGGUUAAAUAUAUUAGUUUUCCACUUUUUUAUAACCCUUACACUUAAGAAAAAUGUGAUUCAUGACACGACCUAGAUACUAUCUUACAAAUCCUUGUUGCUCCCAGAUAUGAACUCCAAGAUAAACCUUUAGAGGUCCCUUCAGGGCUUCUAAACUCCUCUCCGGUGGUAAACUGGAAUACUGUACUCCUUAGCAAAGACAGGAAGGGGAGGCUGGGAAAUUGAAAUUUGAGAUUGCAAAAUGGAAGUCUUCUGAAGAAGUCAUUGUGGAGGUACAUUGAGGAGGGAAAUGCUUUCGGGAAAGAGGUGAUUAAAGUUGAGUAUGGUGAGCUAACCCCAUGGUGUACAGAAAGCACAGUUGAACCUUACGGGGUGUGGGAGUAUGGAGAACAAUCACAAGUUUGUGGUCACAAAUGAAGGCAGACUUUUAUAUCAAAGUGGGAAAUGACAGAAACAAGAUCCUGGAAGGAUUUCUGGAUAGAACAAUUUCCUCUUAGGAAUCUCUUUCAAAUUUGUGAGAUGCUAAUGUAGUUGCCUGUUGGGCCAGAAGUCAGAACAGGGAUGGGAUAUAGCCUUCGGAAGGCUUGUAAAUGAUUGGGAGGUGGAAUGGGUUGUAGAGUUACUAGAAGAUAGGUGGAAUGAGUAUGGAUUCAGUAAGCAGUGUCUACAGAAGAGGUAGAACUGAUGGCUGGGAUCCAAAACAUCUCUGAAACUAUUUCUGGAAUGGGGACAUUCCUAGAAUAGUGAUAUGCCUCACUUGGCUUGUGAUAAAGAGGGUCUGCUUCUCCAAAAAGAUGGUGAACAUUAGUGCACAUAAAACAAUAAGGUACUACUGCAAUUGAUAUUAUCUUUUUUUGUGUGUGUAGGAGUGGAGGGUGAGCUGUUGCAAAAAUUUGUAUGGUUAAAUAUAUUAGUUUUCCACUUUUUUAUAACCCUUACACUUAUGAAAGGAUGUGAUUCAUGACAAGACCUAGAUACUAUCUUACAAAUCCUUGUUGCUCCCAGAUAUGAACUCCAAGAUAAACCUUUAGAGGUCCCUUCAGGGAUUCUAAACUCCUCUCCGGUUGUAAACUGGAAUACUGUACUCCUUAGCAAAGACAGGAAGGGGAGGCUGGGAAAUUGAAAUUUGAGAUUGCAAAAUGGAAGUCAUCUGAAGAAGUCAUUGUGGAGGUACAUUGAGGAGGGAAAUGCUUUCGGGAAAGAGGUGAUUAAAGCUGAGUAUGGUGUGCUAACCCCAUGGUGUACAGAGAGCACAGUUGAACCUUACGGGGUGUGGGAGUAUGGAGAACAAUCACAAGUUUGUGGUCAUAAAUGAAGGCAGACUUUUAUAUCAAAGUGGGAAAUGACAGUAAAACAAGAUUCUGGAAGGAUUUCUGGAUAGAACAAUUUCCUCUUAGGAAUCUCUUUCAAAUUUGUGAGAUGCUAAUGUAGUUGCCUGUUGGGCCAGAAGUCAGAACAGGGAUGGGAUAUAGCCUUCGGAAGGCUUGUAAAUUAUUGGGAGGUGGAAUGGGUUGUAGAGUUAUUAGGGAAGAUAGGUGGAAUAAGUAUGAAUUCAGUAAGCAGUGUCUACAGAAGAGGUCUCCAGCUGAUGGCUGGGAUCCGAAACAUCUCUGGAACUAUUUCUGGAAUGGGGACAUUCCUAGAAUAGUGAUAUGCCUCACUUGGCUUGUGAUAAAGAGGGCAUGUUUAACGCAGCUUGAUAUUUUAAUCAUUUCCUCUUCGAGACAAGCUGAAGAGCCAUCCUGUCCAGAAACCUCUUUGCCAACUUCCAGCUUUUGGUCAUCACGAGAUAACAGAUCCGGAUUCAUCUCAGAAGGUAACUCUGUGCUUCCAUGUUUGGGAACAUAGUCAUCUAGUGUCUCUUUAGUUCGCCAUCUUAAUCCACAUGCAUUGCAGAGCACUGGUUUUUCAGUUGGCCCAGGUCUCCAUAGGCGGGUUUCUGUUUGAGUUCACAAAUAAUUAGCGUUUAAAUGGGACAAAAUAUGAAUAAAAACUUAUAGGUAAAUUAUCUCAGAAACUAAAGCACAAUGAUCAUUGACGAUUAAGAUUUUUUGUAGAAGGUUUAGAAUGUACUGCACGAGAACAUAAGCGUCACGGAACUGGAGUACGUAUAGCGGGGAAUAUUAUUGGCAAAACAAGAGGAAAUAUCUUUCUGUGAAACAUAUAUAGACUUUUAGGAUGUGUCAACUGCUUUUACACACAUUUUUAUCACCAUUUUAUGGCACCAUACAGCAUAGUUGAACGAGCUUGAUGGUGGAAAGAUUGAAAAGGAUUUGCUUGUUGUGUUGAGGAACAAUGCAAAAUAGUUAACCUCUUGGCAGACUGCAUUUCUUUGCAUGAUAUUUUAAGGAGGAACGCUAUCAACAGUAAAAUGAUACCCCC